GUGAAUCAUCAAAUUUUUGAACGCAAAUUGCGCUUCCUGGCAUCCCGGGAAGUAUGCCUGUUUGAGGGUCAGUAUUAAUAAAAAAAUCGGUUUAGUUACAAAUUGUGACGUUUCGGGGGUUUGGGCUAUCUUAACAUUUUUGGUUAAGAGGCUUAAAUUUGACUUUUUUUGCGCAUUUUUAAACGAACAUAAUUUUUUUUAUUCUUUUUUUCUUAUGCCCAAAUUCCUAUU
rnacentral:misc_RNA from 1 species